rnacentral:rRNA from 1 species
AAAGGAAGAUUAAUACUCCAUAAUAUAUUGAACGGCAUCGUUUAAUAUUGAAAGCUCCGGCGGAUGGAGAUGGGCACGCGCGAGAUUAGCUAGUUGGUGAGGUAACGGCUCACCAAGGCGAUGAUCUUUAGGGGGCCUGAGAGGGUGAUCCCCCACACUGGUACUGGGACACGGACCAG